ensembl:lncRNA novel transcript
UGCUAUGUGAGGAUGCAGCACUUUUUCCCUCUGGAGGAAGCAGCUUUCACCUUGGAAGAAUCUUGACCUUGCCAUUCAAAGUCACCAGACAGGGAAUCUGCCAGUGCCUUGAUCUUAGACUUCCCAGCUUCUGUAACUGUGAGCAAUAAAUGUAUGCUGCUUAUAAACUAUCCAGUCUCAUGCAUUUUGUUAUAGCAAUAUAAACAGAUGAAGACAGACAUAAACAUAUCUUUUUGAGAGAUGCAAUGCAACCCAUACCACCAGGAUUGCCACAUGUUUGCUGAUUUCACCUGGUAGCAAGGCUUAGCUAUCUUGGCUUGAAUGUAAUACCUCCAUCUUUUCUCUUGGUCAUCCUCUUUAAGCAGAGGACUUUUAUCUACCCAAGCAGAAUCCUGUGUUCUUGCUAUUCGAAGUGCAGCCCAGCCUCCUGCAGCCACCACAUCACUUGUGAUGCUUGACAGAAAUGCAGACUCUCUGUUCCCACCUCAAACCUACUGACUUGGGAAUCUGCAGCUUACCAAGAUCUCCAGGUGAUCCACGUACACGUCAAACUUUGAAAAGCAGUGGUUUGCAGAACAAAAAGGAUUCAGCUUCUGAUAUGGUUUGGAUUUGUGUCUGUACCCAAAUCUCAUGUCAAAUUGUAAUCCCCAGUGUUGGAGGAGGAGCCUGGUGAAAGCAAUGUAAAAUGAACCUGCUUCCCCUUCAUCUUCCACCAUGAUUAUAAGUUUCCUGAGGAAUCUCCAGCCAUGCUUCCUGUACAGUCUGCAGAAUUGUAUUUGGCAGAAGAAAUUUCUAAGCAGCAAAGCAUGAAAGAUGUGGCCCAGUUGCUUCUAACAGCAUAAUCUCAUGUGUGAGCAAAGAGACGAUCUGAAACUGGAACUUAUAUUUUAAACGGGAGCAGAGCAUGAAAGUUUAGAAAAUAUGCAGCCUGACGAUAUGGUAGAAAAGAAAAACCCAUUUUUCUGGGGAGGAAUUCAAGCUGGCUGCAUAAAUUUGCAUAAAUAAAGAGGAGCCAAAUGUUAAUAACCAAGACAACGGGGAAAAUGCCUCAAAGGCAUUCCAGAGACCUUUGUGGCAGCCCCUCCCAUUACAGGCCUGAAGGCCUAGGAGGGAAGAAUGGUUUCAUGGGCCAGGCCAAAGGCCCCGCUGGAUGGGCCCUGGGACACUGCUCCUUGUGUCCUAGUCAUUCCAGCUCCAGCCAUGGCUAAAAGGUCCCCAGAUACAUCUGAGGCCACUGCUCCAGAAGAUGCCAGCUAUAAGCCAUGGUGACUUCUAUGUGGUGUUAAGCCUGUGCGUGCACAGAGGGCAAGAGUUGAGGCUUGGGAGCCUCCACUUAGAUUUCAGCGGAUAUAUGGAAAUACCUGGAUGUCCAGGCAGAAGUCUGCUGCAGGGUUGGAGCCCUCAUGGAGAACCUCUACUAAGGGCAGUGAGGAGGGGAAAUGUGGGGUUGGAGCCCUCACACAGAGUCCCCUCUGGGGCACUGCCUAGUGGAGCUGUGAAAAGAGGGCCACUGUCCUCCAGACCCCAGAAUGGUAGAGCCACUGGCAGCUUAUACCGUGUGUCUGGAAAAGCCUCAGGCACUCAACACCAACCCUUGAGAGUAGCCAUGGUAGCUGAGCCCUGCAGAACCACAGGGGUGCAGAUGCCCAAGGCCUUGGGAGCCCACCCCUUGCAUCAGUGUGUCCUGGAUGUGAGACAUGGAGUCAAAAGAUAUUAUUUUGGAGCUUUAAGAUUUAAUGACUGACCUGCUGGGUUUCAGACUUGCAUGGGGCCUAUAGCCCCUUUGUUUGGGCCAAUUUCUCCCUUUUGGAUCAGGCAUAUUUACCUGAUGCCUGUACCCCAUUGUAUCUUGGAAGUAACUAACUUGUUUUUUAUGUUAUAGGCUCAUAGACAGGAGUGACUUGCCUUGUCUUAAAUGAGACUUGGACUCUGGACUUUUGAGUUAAUGCUGAAAUGAGUUAAGACUUGGGGGACAGUUGAGAAGGGAUGAUUGUAUUUUGCAAUGUGAGAAGGACAUGAGAUUUGGGAGGGGCCAGGGGUGGGAUGAUAUGGUUUGGAUUGUGUCCCCACCCAAAUCUCAUGGUAAAUUAUAAUCUCCAAUGUUGGAGGAGGGGCCUGGUGGUGGGGGGUGAUUGGAUCAUGGGGGUGGACAUCCCCCUUGCUGUUCUCACAAGAUCUGGUUUUUUAAAUGUGUGUAGCACAGCCAGGCACGGUGGCUCACGCCUGUAAUCCCAGCACUUUGGGAGGCUGAGGCAGGCAGAUCACAAAGUCAGGAGAUUGAGACCAUCCUGGCUAACAUGGUGAAACCCCGUCUCUACUAAAAAUACAAAAAAAAUUAGCCGGGCGUCGUGGCAGGCACCUGUAGUCCCAGCUACUUGAGAGGCUGAGGCAGGAGAAUGGCGUGAACCUGGGAGGCAGAGCUUGCAGACAGCCGAGAUCAUGCCACUGCACUCCAGCCUGGGCGACAGAGCUUGCAGACAGCCGAGAUCAUGCCACUGCACUCCAGCCUGGGCGACAGAGUGAGACUCCAUCUCAAAAAAAAAAAAAAGUGUAUAGCACCUCCCCUUCACUCUCUCUUCCUUUUUCUCUGGACGUGUAAGACGUGUUUGCUUCCCCUUCACCUUCCACCAUGAUUAUAAGUUUCCUGAGGCCUCCUCAGCCAUGUUUCCUGUUCAGCCUGCGGAACUCUAAGACAAUUAAACCUCUUUUCUUUAUAAAUUACCCAGUCUCAGGUAGUUCUUUAUAGCAAUGCAGGAAUGUACUAAUACACCUUCCUUUUAUACUGGUGAAUGAUCCUGGUUGUUGGAAACACAUAAUGCCCUUAGUUUAAAUUGAAAAUUAACCACUAGACAGUCUUUUCUCAAUUAUCCUUCAAGUAUGUAUAGUCCUUCAAUUAUAUUUUGAAAUGAAUUUGAGGUAAAAGCAUUCUGAAGUUAGGAUUUCAAAUUCUCUUAGUUUAAGCAAAAUGACUUUAGUCAAGUCUGAAUUGUCAAGUAAAUUAUAUAAGCAAAACCUUCUAAUAGAAUUGUCUCCAGCCAGUACUCUCCAAGUCUGAAAGGAGUCGGGGAAGGGAGUGAUUAAUCUGGAAAAAAAAAAAGAUUUUUGUGUUGUCAUUUUAGGGGAGAACCAUGAAAUAAUUAUUCUCAAAUGUCAAGUAGAUUUAUUUUAUAUAGUCCCAGAUAGACCACCAGCUAGACAUAAUAGGGAGACAGAUUUAGGAUUGUUACAAGCUUUAAUAUCCUAUGAAUAAGAUUUGUCAAAAUAUGGAACAGACUUCCUUAUAGAAUUGAGAAAUUCAACCAUUGGACACUUUUGUGAUUGAUGGAAAGUCUUGUUCUGAGAAUAAGGGUAAAUCAGAUGCCUUUCAGCAUGUUUCCAACUCAAGGACUUCAUGAUGUGGCAAACUACUCUGAAAAUGUAAACUUCAGACG